GUGAAGCCCGAAGUCGCAAGACUGAGGGUGGAGCAGUGGCAGACGGGUGAGUACAAGGUAAGAAUCUACCUCUUGAUGGGGAACAGCUCGCCGAAAGGCGGGGUAAUACCGCAUAACAUCGUAAGAUAAAAGGCCUUAACGGGCCGUCGAGAGAUGAGCUUGCCUACUAUCAGCUUGUUGGUAGGGUAAUGGCCUACCAAGGCUAUGACGGUUAGGGGGCGUGAGAGCGUGGCCCCCCACAAGGUAACUGAGAUACGGUGCCUACACCUACGGGUGGCAGCAACUGGGAAUUUUGCGCAAUGGACGAAAGUCUGACGCAGCGACACUGCGUGUGGGAUGAAGGCCUUCGGGUUGUAAACCACUGUGGUAAGGGAUGAAAUCAAUGACAGUACCUUACUAGAAAGUACCUGCUAACCACGUGCCAGAAGCCUCGGUAAUACGUGGGGUACAAGCAUUAUCCGGAAUCACUGGGCGUAAAGAGUAUCUUAGGCGGUUUUUUAAGUGGCAGGUUAAAGCUCCCGGCUCAACUGGGAAGAUGCCUGUCAAACUGGGAAACUAGAGGAAAUUCGGGGGUAUCGGAAUUCUUGGUGGAGGUGUGAAAUCCGUUGAUAUCAAGAAGAACACCAAUGGCGAAGGCAGAUACCUAGGAUUUUCCAGACGCUGACGAACGAAAGCUAGGGGAGCGAAAGGGAUUAGAGACCCCUGUAGUCCUAGCCGUAAACGAUGAACACUAGCUAUCCCCGCCCGUAAAGUUUUAAUCGACUUUAGGGGG
rnacentral:rRNA from 1 species